GAUGAACGCUAGCUACAGGCUUAACACAUGCAAGUCGAGGGGCAUCAGGAAGAAAGCUUGCUUUCUUUGCUGGCGACCGGCGCACGGGUGAGUAACACGUAUCCAACCUGCCCUUUACUCGGGGAUAGCCUUUCGAAAGAAAGAUUAAUACCCGAUAGCAUAAUGAUUCCGCAUGGUUUCAUUAUUAAAGGAUUCCGGUAAAGGAUGGGGAUGCGUUCCAUUAGGUUGUUGGUGAGGUAACGGCCCACCAAGCCUUCGAUGGAUAGGGGUUCUGAGAGGAAGGUCCCCCACAUUGGAACUGAGACACGGUCCAAACUCCUACGGGAGGCAGCAGUGAGGAAUAUUGGUCAAUGGGCGCUAGCCUGAACCAGCCAAGUAGCGUGAAGGAUGAAGGCUCUAUGGGUCGUAAACUUCUUUUAUAUAAGAAUAAAGUGCAGUAUGUAUACUGUUUUGUAUGUAUUAUAUGAAUAAGGAUCGGCUAACUCCGUGCCAGCAGCCGCGGUAAUACGGAGGAUCCGAGCGUUAUCCGGAUUUAUUGGGUUUAAAGGGAGCGUAGGUGGACUGGUAAGUCAGUUGUGAAAGUUUGCGGCUCAACCGUAAAAUUGCAGUUGAUACUGUCAGUCUUGAGUACAGUAGAGGUGGGCGGAAUUCGUGGUGUAGCGGUGAAAUGCUUAGAUAUCACGAAGAACUCCGAUUGCGAAGGCAGCUCACUGGACUGCAACUGACACUGAUGCUCGAAAGUGUGGGUAUCAAACAGGAUUAGAUACCCUGGUAGUCCACACAGUAAACGAUGAAUACUCGCUGUUUGCGAUAUACAGUAAGCGGCCAAGCGAAAGCAUUAAGUAUUCCACCUGGGGAGUACGCCGGCAACGGUGAAACUCAAAGGAAUUGACGGGGGCCCGCACAAGCGGAGGAACAUGUGGUUUAAUUCGAUGAUACGCGAGGAACCUUACCCGGGCUUAAAUUGCAGUGGAAUGAUGUGGAAACAUGUCAGUGAGCAAUCACCGCUGUGAAGGUGCUGCAUGGUUGUCGUCAGCUCGUGCCGUGAGGUGUCGGCUUAAGUGCCAUAACGAGCGCAACCCUUAUCUUUAGUUACUAACAGGUUAUGCUGAGGACUCUAGAGAGACUGCCGUCGUAAGAUGUGAGGAAGGUGGGGAUGACGUCAAAUCAGCACGGCCCUUACGUCCGGGGCUACACACGUGUUACAAUGGGGGGUACAGAAGGCAGCUAGCGGGUGACCGUAUGCUAAUCCCAAAAUCCUCUCUCAGUUCGGAUCGAAGUCUGCAACCCGACUUCGUGAAGCUGGAUUCGCUAGUAAUCGCGCAUCAGCCACGGCGCGGUGAAUACGUUCCCGGGCCUUGUACACACCGCCCGUCAAGCCAUGGGAGCCGGGGGUACCUGAAGUACGUAACCGCAAGGAUCGUCCUAGGGUAAAACUGGUGACUGGGGCUAAGUC
rnacentral:rRNA from 1 species